UGCAAAGAAUCUCACUAAGAGACUUCAUGUUGCCGGGAUGAUGUCAGGGCAAAAAAGUAUACUUGCCUGGAUAAAAGAUAUAGUAAACCACUUUUGGUUUGCUUGUCAACUUGCAAACAACAGAGAGGAGUUUAUGGGUGUGUGGCGAGGUGUACU